rnacentral:tRNA from 1 species
GCCCGGAUGGUGGAAUGGUAGACACGAGGGACUUAAAAUCCCUUGGCCUUUUCGGCUGUGCGGGUUCGAGUCCCGCUCCGGGCA